UGGGGAAUAUUGCACAAUGGGCGCAAGCCUGAUGCAGCCAUGCCGCGUGUGUGAAGAAGGCCUUCGGGUUGUAAAGCACUUUCAGCGGGGAGGAAGGCGUUAAGGUUAAUACCUUUGCUCAUUGACGUUACCCGCAGAAGAAGCACCGGCUAACUCCGUGCCAGCAGCCGCGGUAAUACGGAGGGUGCAAGCGUUAAUCGGAAUUACUGGGCGUAAAGCGCACGCAGGCGGUUUGUUAAGUCAGAUGUGAAAUCCCCGGGCUCAACCUGGGAACUGCAUCUGAUACUGGCAAGCUUGAGUCUCGUAGAGGGGGGUAGAAUUCCAGGUGUAGCGGUGAAAUGCGUAGAGAUCUGGAGGAAUACCGGUAGCGAAGGCGGCCCCCUGGACGAAGACUGACGCUCAGGUGCGAAAGCGUGGGGAGCAAACAGG
rnacentral:rRNA from 1 species